GAACUACAACUCUCUGGAUUCCUCGAGUCGUUCAAUUCUCGUGCAAUCCUCAUCGGUUGUCGAAGAGA
rnacentral:snoRNA from 17 species